GGGGGCGGCGUGCGCCGGGCGGCGCGAGGCCCCUCACGAGAAGACGGCGCGCGAGACCCGGCCGUAGCCCGAGAGCGGCGGCGGGGCAGCGAGCGGCCGGCGCGGAGGCGGGAGAGAGGGCCCGCCGCGCGCGCAGGAGAGAGCACAAGAAGAGGGAGAGGGAGAAGCAGGCUCCCCACUGAGCAGGAAGCCCGAUGCGGGACUCGAUCCCAGGACCCUGAGAUCAUGACCUGAGCUGAAGGCAACUGCUUAACAGACUGAGCCACCCAGGCAUCCCAAAAUAAGAAGAUUUUCAAGUCAAGCUUGAAGAUGGGAACCAGAGAUGUGAUGCUGGCUGCCAACUGCAUUGCCUUCUUGGCUCACAUGCUUCGAGGAAGCAGGGUGCUAUAUUGGAGAGGUUCACAUUCAAGAAAUUGAGGGCAGCCUCCAGCCAGCAACCGGCAAGAACUGAGGCUGUCAGUCCAGUAGCCCCUGAGCCAUUGACCCUGCCAACAGCCACCUGAGCUUCCAAGUGAAUUCUUCCUCGGUGGAGCAUUCGGAUGAGACCUCAACCUUGCCUCACACCUUGACAGCAGGGUUUAAGGGACCCUGAAGCAGAAGACCCAGGUGGAGGAAACUGGGGCCUGAAGAAGUCAAAUGGCUUUUCCAAGUUCACACAGCUUGCCUGUCUGGGAUCUGAAUCCAUGUCUGCCUACCUCCCAACCCUACAUUCUGACCAGUAGGCCACACGGCUCUUCGAAAAGAGGGCCAGGAACCUCCGAGGUUUCUUCCUACAUGUUUGGAAUAGCAUCAGAUGGAAACAAAUUCCACAAGAGGAUUCGUAUGCUCAUAUAAACAGGUAGGAAUGGAUGUUUGUGCACCCAGAGGAUCAGAAGAUAAGUCAAAGCAUGAAAAUAGUUGUCAUUUGCUGUUUAUGGAUUUCUGGGGUCCCAGGAGGCUAACUGAACAAAGAGAACCUGGGCAAUGACAGACGACUGCUGCACGUGAGGGAAGACCACUGUCCUGGUAGAGCUGCGGGUUUUGUGACCCCUGGGCAGGGGGUUGUUUCUGACCUGGGCUGUGAGGGGAUGCCUCUUGGCAGGAGCUAGUUGUUUCCCAUAAGGCGAUGAGGUCUUCUCUCUCUCGUGCAUCCUUACUGGCUGAAGAGGAAGACGACAGUCUCUUGGGAGAGGACGAGGCUGACUCUGUACCUUGCUCAGUUCCACCCAGCCCCUGCCUAAAUCUGGGGGCCUCUGCCACUUCCCUUGUCGUCGCAGAAUGGGUGCCUCCUCUUUCCAAGGUGGACUGACCUGAUGUGUUUCACCAGGUCCCUAGAACACAGCCCCCAAAGCUCUGGGGAUGAGUGUUAGAGCACUAACACCUGAUGACCAUCUGCCAUGCAUGCACCGCUGGCUGGACCCUGGCUCAGUGUCCUCCCUGCAGCCCCCAGAGGAGGAUGGGUUAUGUCCCUGUCAUGGAGGCUGGAGCUGUGGCAAUGUCAGGACCAGACAGGAACCACAACAGCCAGAGGGUGGGAGUCAGAAUUGGAAGCCAGUCCUCCCAACCCCUGGACCAGAGUAACCCUACAGCUCUGGAGAGGGACAGACUGGCUCACCUUGAGCUCACAGUUGGCAGCUGUGUGACCUUGGGCACAUCGCUUCACCCCUCUGAACCUCAGUUGUCAGUCUUGGAACAAGGACAAGAGAAUCAGGUCUAUCACUUCAUAGGGUGGUUGUAAGGAUGAAAGAAGAUAAUGUGGUCAAAAUGCCAAGUGUAAGACUGGAGUGCUUAAUAAAUGCUAGCUGCUAAUAUUAAUUUUUAAGUAUUUUGCGAUCCUUUAAAAACAUACUCGAGGUAAUGUCAUUUCCCUGAUCAAAAGUGUUUCAUGGCUCCUCAUCUCACUCAGAGUCAAAGCUGAAUCCUUACCUUGGCUGUCAGGCCCGAUCUGGCCCCCAUUAUCUCUCCAGCCCCGUGUCCUUCCCUCAUCCCUGAG